rnacentral:rRNA from 1 species
GAUCCUGGCUCAGGACGAACGCUGGCGGUGUGCUUCACACAUGCAAGUCGAACGAGGUAGCAAUACCUAGUGGCGGACGGGUGAGUAACGCGUGGGAAUCUGCCUUUAGAUGGGGGAUAACGGGUCGAAAGACUCGCUAAUACCGCAUAUGACGAAAGUUGAAAGGAGUAAUCCGUCUAAAGAUGAGCCCGCGUCCGAUUAGCUAGUUGGUAGAGUAAAAGCCUACCAAGGCGACGAUCGGUAGCUGGUCUGAGAGGAUGAUCAGCCACAAUGGGACUGAGACACGGCCCAUACUCCUACGGGAGGCAGCAGUGGGAAUUUUACGCAAUGGGCGAAAGCCUGACGUAGCGACACCGCGUGAGCGAAGAAGCCCCUUGGGGUGUAAAGCUCUGUCAGCUGGAACGAAAAAAUGACGGUACCAGCAGAGGAAGCAUCGGCUAACUACGUG